UACGUAGGGUGCGAGCGUUGUCCGGAAUUAUUGGGCGUAAAGGGCUCGUAGGCGGUUUGUCGCGUCGGGGAGUGAAAACACGGGGCUUAACCCCGUGCCUGCUUCCGAUACGGGCAGACUAGAGGUAUGCAGGGGAGAACGGAAUUCCUGGUGUAGCGGUGAAAUGCGCAGAUAUCAGGAGGAACACCGGUGGCGAAGGCGGUUCUCUGGGCAUUACCUGACGCUGAGGAGCGAAAGUGUGGGGAGCGAACAGG
rnacentral:rRNA from 1 species